rnacentral:rRNA from 1 species
UGCAGUCGAACGAGAAGCGGGCUUCGGUCCGUGAGUAAAGUGGCAGACGGGUGAGUAACACGUGGGUAACCUGCCCGGAGGUGGGGGAUAACCCUUCGAAAGGAGGGCUAAUACCGCAUGACACCUCGAGCUCUUCGGGGCUCGAGUUCAAAGCUAGCCUCUGUUUCAUGCUAGCGCCGCCGGAGGGGCCCGCGCCCCAUUAGCUUGUUGGUGAGGUAAAGGCUCACCAAGGCUGCGAUGGGUAGCCGGCCUGAGGGGGUGAUCGGCCACACUGGAACUGAGACACGGUCCAGACUCCUACGGGAGGCAGCAGUGAGGAAUUUUGCGCAAUAGGCGAAAGCCUGACGCAGCGACGCCGCGUGGAGGACGAAGGCCUUCGGGUCGUAAACUCCUGUCAAGCGGGA